rnacentral:rRNA from 1 species
UACGAAGGGGGCUAGCGUUGUUCGGAAUCACUGGGCGUAAAGGGCGCGUAGGCGGCUUUAUAAGUCGGGGGUGAAAGCCUGUGGCUCAACCACAGAAUUGCCUUCGAUACUGUAGAGCUUGAGACCGGAAGAGGUAAGUGGAACUGCGAGUGUAGAGGUGAAAUUCGUAGAUAUCAGGAAGAACACCAAUGGCGAAGGCAGCUCUCUGGGACGGUACUGACGCUGAGACGCGAAAGCGUGGGGAGCGAACAGG